GAUGAACGCUAGCGGCAGGCCUAACACAUGCAAGUCGAGGGGCAGCACGUCUUCGGAUGGUGGCGACCGGCGCACGGGUGCGUAACGCGUAUGCAACCUACCUCUUACAGUGGGAUAGCCCAGAGAAAUUUGGAUUAAUACCGCAUAGUAUACAGAUUCAGCAUUGGGACUGUAUUAAACAUUUAUGGGUAAGAGAUGGGCAUGCGUUCUAUUAGUUAGUUGGAGUGGUAACGGCACCCCAAGACAGCGAUAGAUAGGGGCCCUGAGAGGGGGAUCCCCCGACACUGGUACUGAGACACGGACCAGACUCCGUACGGGAGGCAGCAGUGAGGAAUAUU
rnacentral:rRNA from 1 species